rnacentral:lncRNA from 10 species
AUGUCAGACUCAAAUUUGGAUAGCAGCAAGAAUUUCUCUGAGGGGGAAGUAGAUGAUAAGGAAAGUAUGAUUUUGACAUUGGUGCCAGUUAAAGAUGAUCCAACUAUGGAACAAAUGAAACCAAGUUGUUUCUUCAAUUUCUGAUGUCAAACUGGAGAAAUUUAAGAAAUACAAUCAAGGUCAUCUACUUCAAACAAAUGAACAAUUUACAGUGCCACAAAAAACUAGAUGAAAAAUACUAGCACUUCCCUUGCCAUUUUGCCUCCCAUUAAUAAGGUGUGUUGGGACCCUUUGUGGGAUUGCUGUCAACAACUCAGUUUGAGUACUAAAGGCAAGAAAACAGAAGUUAGUCUGAGGCUCCAUAGGCAUGCUUACCCUGAACAACAGCAAGAUAUGCUUGAAAUGUCACAAGACCAGAUUACAGCAACGUUCGAGGAAACGCAAGGCAGUAACCGAGAGAGCACGGCUUCAGAAAAGUUAUGAGGUGAAUGAGAGAGCAGAAGAGAAUAAUACAGUUGAAGUGGUAACUUAAGCGCAGGGAGCCAUAUUGGCGUCA